UCCGCAUUGGUCUAGUGGUUAGGAUUUCCCGUUCUCAUCGGGAUGGCCGGGGUUCGAUUCCCCGAUGCGGA
rnacentral:tRNA from 1 species